CUCCUGAAGAGAAUCCUCUCCCUCUUUGCCUUCUAACUUCAAGUUCAGCCUCUGUGCACGCCACUCCUCUGACACUGCAUAUUUGAACUAUAUGGAAAAAUGGAAACUAAAAAUGUGCCUGAGGAAUGGUGAGAAUAGGAGGUUUGGAGGGGACAAGAAAGAUCAAGGCUGGCAAGGACCUUCAACUUCUGGAACUGAUCAAUCUAGAUAUUAAUAUUAGACCCACACUUCCUGAGCUAAAAGAACUGAAAACAAUGAUGGUGAUGGUGAGAGGUGAAAGGAAAUUUAACAGCAAGCAAAUGAUAGAAAACUAUAGGCCAAAGAGACAAUUGAGGCUAGAAAAUACUGCUGGUGCCUCUUCCACACCCCAUGAAAAUGCUGGGCCUCCACGUUGUGAUGAAUGGCACAUCUGCCCUGUUGGCUCCUCUACCAGAGUAGAUUCUGUAUGAGACAUUCUUAUUAAAGAAUGGCUAAGUGUUUCUUCGACGUGUGGUUUAAAUGUUUGCCAGGAGCCAAGUGUGAACUGCGGCUUGGCAGCCUAAAGUCUCUACUGCGUGACCUCAGAAUCAUUUCAAACUGUCUCUUUAUCUUUUAUAAAUGUUAUGUAAGCCAAUAACACUGAUAAAUAAUUCUUUUUAACAUUGUAAAUCUUAGAAUGCUGCUUCAUUUUUAAAGAAUAUUUUGGAUUGACUGAAGGCACUUCAGGUGAGCUUCUAGUUGUUUCCUGAGCUCCUCUGGUGCCAAAAUGUCGUUCAUGGCUGCGGUUAUUCGGCGGCUGGACAAGACAGUGGUGAACAGCAUCACGCAAGGAAAGUUAUCCAGCGCCUGGUUAAUGCUAUCACAGAGAUCAUUGAGCACCGUUUAGACGCAAAAUCCGCAGGUAUUCAAGUGAUUGCUAAAGAGGGAGGCCUGAAGCUGAUUCGGAUCCAAGACAGUGGCACUGGGAUCAGGAAAGAAGAUCUGGAUAUUGUAUGCGAGAGGCUCCCUACGAGGAAACUGCAGUCCUUUGAGGAUUUAGCCAGUAUUUCCACCUAUGGCUUUCAAGGUGAGGCUUUGGCCAGCAUAAGCCACGUGGCUCAUGUUACUAUUACAGGGAAAAUAGCUGAUGGAAAGUGUGCAUACAGAGCAAGUUACUCAGAUGGAAAACUGAAAGCUCCUCCUAAACCAUGUGCUGGCAAUCAAGGGACCCAGAUCGUGGUGGAGGACCUUUUUUACAACAUAACCACAAGAAGAAAAGCUUUAAAAAAUCCAAGUGAAGAAUAUGGGAAAAUUUUGGAAGUUGUUGGCACAUAUUCAAUACACAAUUCAGGUAUUAGUUUCUCAGUUAAAAAACAAAGACAGUAGCUGAUGUUAGAUAGUAGCUAAUGCUGCAACCGUGGACAAUAUUCGCUCCAUCUUUGGAAAUGCUGUUAGUUGAGAAAUGAUAGAAAUUGGGUGUGAGGAUAAAACCCUAGCCUUCAAAACGAAUGGUUAUGUUUCCAAUGCAAACUACUCGGUGAAGAAGUGCAUCAUCUUACUCUUUAUCAACCACCGUCUGGUAGAAUCAACUUCCCUGAGAAAAGCCAUACAAACAGUGUAUGCAGCCUAUUUGCCCAAACACACACACCCAUUCCUAUACCGCAGUUUAGAAAUCAGUCCCCAGAAUGCGGAUGUUAAUGUGCACCCCACAAAGCACGAAGUUCACUGCCUGCAUGAGGAGAGCAUCCUGGAGUGGGAGCAGCAGCACAUUGAGAGCCAGCUCUUGGGCUCCAAUUCCUCCAGGAUGUCCUUCAUCCAGACUUUGCUACCAGGACUCGCUGGCCCCUCUGGGGAGAUGGUUAAAUCCACAACACAUCUGACCUCCUCUUCCACUUCUGGAAGUAGUGACGAGGUCUAUGCCCACCAGAUGGUUCGUACAGAUUCCUGAGAACAGAAGCUUGAUACAUUUCUGCAGCCCCUGAGCAAACUCCUGUCCAGUCAGCCCCAGGCCAUUGUCCCAGAGGAUAAGACAGAUAUUUCUAGUGGCAGGGCUAGGCAGCAAGAUGAGAAGAUGCUUGAACUCCCAGCCCCUGCUGAAGUGGCUGCCAAAAAUCAGAGCCUGGAGGGGGAUACAACAAAGGGGACUUCAGAAAUGUCAGAGAAGGGAUGACCCACUUCCAGCCCAGGCAAUCCCAGAAAGAGACAUAGGGAAGAUUCUGAUGUGGAAAUGGUGGAAGAUGAUUCCCGAAAGGACAUGACUGCAGUCUGUACUCCCCGGAGAAAGAUCAUUAGCCUCACCAGUGUUUUGAGUCUCCAGGAAGAAAUUAAUGAACGGCGACAUGAGAUUCUCCGGGAGAUGUUGCAUAACCACUCCUUCGUGGGCUGUGUGAAUCCUCAGUGGGCCUUGGCACAGCAUCAGACCAAGUUAUACCUUCUCAACACCACCAGCUUAGUGAAGCACUGUUCUACCAGAUACUCAUUUAUGAUUUUGCCAAUUUUGGCGUCCUGAGGUUAUUGGAGCCAGCACCGCUCUUUGACCUCACCAUGCUUGCCUUAGAUAGUCCAGAGAAUGGCUGGACAGAGGAAGAUGGUCCCAAAGAAGGACUUGCUGAAUACAUUGUUGAGUUUCUGAAGAGGAGGGCUGAGAUGCUUGCAGACUAUUUCUGUUCGGAAAUUGAUGAGGAAGGGAACCUGAUUGGAUUACCCCUUCUGAUUGACAACUGUGUGCCCCCUUUGGAAGGACUGCCUAUUUUCAUUCUUUGACUAGCCACUGAGGUGAAUUGGGACGAAGAAAAGGAAUGUUUUGAAAGCCUCAGUAAAGAAUGCACUAUGUUCUACUCCAUCCAAAAGCAGUACAUAUCUGAGGAGUCGACCCUCUCAGGCCAGCAGAGUGAAGUUCCUGGCUCCAUUCCAAACUCCUAGAAGUGGACUGUGAAACACAUUGUCUAUAAAGCCUUGCACUCACACAUUCUGCCUCCUAAACAUUUCACAGAUGAUGGUAAUAUCCUGCAGCUUGCUAACCUGCCUGAUCUAUACAAAGUCUUUGAGAGGUGUUAAAUAUGGUCAUUUGUGCACUGUAGGAUGUGUUGUUCAUUCUUUGUAUCCCGAUGUUAUUGGGAGCACUUAAGACUUACACCUUGCCUUCUAACUGGUAGCGUUCCUUUAUACAUGGUGGACUGAUUAUAAAUAAAUAGUCAGAUGUGUCCUAA